rnacentral:misc_RNA from 1 species
AACGCACCUUGCGCCCCUUGGCUAUUCCGAGGGGCAUGCCUGUUUGAGUAUCAUGAACACCUCAACUCUCACGGUUCACCUGUGAUGAGCUUGGACUUAUGGGGGUUUUGCUGGCCUUUGGCCGGCUCCUCUCAAAUGGAUCAGCUUACCAGUGUUUGGUGGCGUCAUGGGUGUGAUAAAUAUCUACGCUUGUGGCUGUCUGCCAGGUAACCCCCAGUGAUGGAGGUUUGCUGGGGCUUACAAAUGUCUUUCCUCAGAGAAGACGGCUUUUUGAACGUUCGAUCUCAAAUCAGGUAGGACUACCCGCUGAACUUAA